GAUGAACGCUGGCUACAGGCUUAACACAUGCAAGUCGAGGGGAAACGACGGGGAAGCUUGCUUCCCCGGGCGUCGACCGGCGCACGGGUGAGUAACGCGUAUCCAACCUGCCUCUGACUGAGGGAUAACCCGUCGAAAGUCGGCCUAAUACCUCAUGGUAUCGUCUGCGGGCAUCCAACGACGAUUAAAGAUUUCAUCGGUCAGGGAUGGGGAUGCGUCUGAUUAGCUUGUUGGCGGGGUAACGGCCCACCAAGGCUACGAUCAGUAGGGGUUCUGAGAGGAAGGUCCCCCACAUUGGAACUGAGACACGGUCCAAACUCCUACGGGAGGCAGCAGUGAGGAAUAUUGGGCAAUGGGCGAGAGCCUGAACCAGCCAAGUAGCGUGCAGGAAGACGGCCAUAUGGGUUGUAAACUGCUUUUAUGCGGGGAUAAAGUGAGGGACGUGUCCCUCAUUGCAGGUACCGCAUGAAUAAGGACCGGCUAAUUCCGUG
rnacentral:rRNA from 1 species